rnacentral:rRNA from 1 species
UACGAAGGGGGCUAGCGUUGUUCGGAUUUACUGGGCGUAAAGCGCACGUAGGCGGAUCGUUAAGUCGGGGGUGAAAUCCUGGAGCUCAACUCCAGAACUGCCUUCGAUACUGGCGAUCUUGAGUCCGGAAGAGGUGAGUGGAACUCCUAGUGUAGAGGUGGAAUUCGUAGAUAUUCGCAAGAACACCAGUGGCGAAGGCGGCCUCACUGGCCCGGUACUGACGCUGAGGCACGAAAGCGUGGGGAGCAAACAGG